UUUGUGGCGGUCACAGCCCAGGAGAAACGCCCGGCACCAUCCCGAACCCGGAAGCUAAGCCCUGGCACGGCAAUGAUACUCCACCCGACAGGGUGCGGGAAAGUAGCACACCGCCACCAC
rnacentral:rRNA from 1 species